GAUGAACGCUAGCGGCAGGCUUAAUACAUGCAAGUCGUGGGGCAGCAUGAGUAGCAAUACUUGAUGGCGACCGGCAAACGGGUGAGGAACACGUACACAACCUUCCUUCAAGCGGGGAAUAGCCCAGAGAAAUUUGGAUUAAUACCCCAUAAUAUAUUUGAUAAGGCAUCUUAUUAAUAUUAAAGCUUCGGCACUUGAUGAUGGGUGUGCGGCUGAUUAGAUAGUUGGCGGGGUAACGGCCCACCAAGUCUACGAUCAGUAGCUGAUGUGAGAGCAUGAUCAGCCACACGGGCACUGAGACACGGGCCCGACUCCUACGGGAGGCAGCAGUAAGGAAUAUUGGACAAUGGACGAAAGUCUGAUCCAGCCAUGCCGCGUGAAGGAUUAAGGUCCUCUGGAUUGUAACUUCUUUAUAUGGGACGAAAAAGGGCAUUCUUGUUCACUUGACGGUACCAUAUGAAUAAGCACCGGCUAACUCCGUGCCAGCA
rnacentral:rRNA from 1 species